rnacentral:rRNA from 1 species
UGGGGUUGUAGGACACUCUAUACGGAGUUACAAAGGACGACAUUAGACGAAUCAUCUGGAAAGAUGAAUCAAAGAAGGUAAUAAUCCUGUAGUCGAAAAUGUUGUCUCUCUUGAGUGGAUCCUGAGUACGACGGAGCACGUGAAAUUCCGUCGGAAUCUGGGAGGACCAUCUCCUAAGGCUAAAUACUCUCUAGUGACCGAUAGUGAACCAGUACCGUGAGGGAAAGGUGAAAAGCACCCCGGAAGGGGAGUGAAAUAGAACCUGAAACCGUGUGCUUACAAGUAGUCAGAGCCCGUUAAUGGGUGAUGGCGUGCCUUUUGUAGAAUGAACCGGCGAGUUACGAUUUGAUGCAAGGUUAAGCAGUAAAUGUGGAGCCGUAGCGAAAGCGAGUCUGAAUAGGGCGUUUAGUAUUUGGUCGUAGACCCGAAACCAGGUGAUCUACCCUUGGUCAGGUUGAAGUUCAGGUAACACUGAAUGGAGGACCGAACCGACUUACGUUGAAAAGUGAGCGGAUGAACUGAGGGUAGCGGAGAAAUUCCAAUCGAACCUGGAGAUAGCUGGUUCUCUCCGAAAUAGCUUUAGGGCUAGCCUCAAGUGAUGAUUAUUGGAGGUAGAGCACUGUUUGGACGAGGGGCCCCUCUCGGGUUACCGAAUUCAGACAAACUCCGAAUGCCAAUUAAUUUAACUUGGGAGUCAGAACAUGGGUGAUAAGGUCCGUGUUCGAAAGGGAAACAGCCCAGACCACCAGCUAAGGUCCCAAAAUAUAUGUUAAGUGGAAAAGGAUGUGGCGUUGCCCAGACAACUAGGAUGUUGGCUUAGAAGCAGCCAUCAUUUAAAGAGUGCGUAAUAGCUCACUAGUCGAGUGACACUGCGCCGAAAAUGUACCGGGGCUAAACAUAUUACCGAAGCUGUGGAUUGUCCUUUGGACAAUGGUAGGAGAGCGUUCUAAGGGCGUUGAAGCAUGAUCGUAAGGACAUGUGGAGCGCUUAGAAGUGAGAAUGCCGGUGUGAGUAGCGAAAGACGGGUGAGAAUCCCGUCCACCGAUUGACUAAGGUUUCCAGAGGAAGGCUCGUCCGCUCUGGGUUAGUCGGGUCCUAAGCUGAGGCCGACAGGCGUAGGCGAUGGAUAACAGGUUGAUAUUCCUGUACCACCUAUAAUCGUUUUAAUCGAUGGGGGGACGCAGUAGGAUAGGCGAAGCGUGCGAUUGGAUUGCACGUCUAAGCAGUAAGGCUGAGUAUUAGGCAAAUCCGGUACUCGUUAAGGCUGAGCUGUGAUGGGGAGAAGACAUUGUGUCUUCGAGUCGUUGAUUUCACACUGCCGAGAAAAGCCUCUAGAUAGAAAAUAGGUGCCCGUACCGCAAACCGACACAGGUAGUCAAGAUGAGAAUUCUAAGGUGAGCGAGCGAACUCUCGUUAAGGAACUCGGCAAAAUGACCCCGUAACUUCGGGAGAAGGGGUGCUCUUUAGGGUUAACGCCCAGAAGAGCCGCAGUGAAUAGGCCCAAGCGACUGUUUAUCAAAAACACAGGUCUCUGCUAAACCGUAAGGUGAUGUAUAGGGGCUGACGCCUGCCCGGUGCUGGAAGGUUAAGAGGAGUGGUUAGCUUCUGCGAAGCUACGAAUCGAAGCCCCAGUAAACGGCGGCCGUAACUAUAACGGUCCUAAGGUAGCGAAAUUCCUUGUCGGGUAAGUUCCGACCCGCACGAAAGGCGUAACGAUUUGGGCACUGUCUCAACGAGAGACUCGGUGAAAUCAUAGUACCUGUGAAGAUGCAGGUUACCCGCGACAGGACGGAAAGACCCCGUGGAGCUUUACUGUAGCCUGAUAUUGAAAUUCGGCACAGCUUGUACAGGAUAGGUAGGAGCCUUUGAAACGUGAGCGCUAGCUUACGUGGAGGCGCUGGUGGGAUACUACCCUAGCUGUGUUGGCUUUCUAACCCGCACCACUUAUCGUGGUGGGAGACAGUGUCAGGCGGGCAGUUUGACUGGGGCGGUCGCCUCCUAAAAGGUAACGGAGGCGCUCAAAGGUUCCCUCAGAAUGGUUGGAAAUCAUUCAUAGAGUGUAAAGGCAUAAGGGAGCUUGACUGCGAGACCUACAAGUCGAGCAGGGUCGAAAGACGGACUUAGUGAUCCGGUGGUUCCGCAUGGAAGGGCCAUCGCUCAACGGAUAAAAGCUACCCCGGGGAUAACAGGCUUAUCUCCCCCAAGAGUUCACAUCGACGGGGAGGUUUGGCACCUCGAUGUCGGCUCAUCGCAUCCUGGGGCUGUAGUCGGUCCCAAGGGUUGGGCUGUUCGCCCAUUAAAGCGGUACGCGAGCUGGGUUCAGAACGUCGUGAGACAGUUCGGUCCCUAUCCGUCGUGGGCGUAGGAAAUUUGAGAGGAGCUGUCCUUAGUACGAGAGGACCGGGAUGGACAUACCUCUGGUGUACCAGUUGUCGUGCCAACGGCAUAGCUGGGUAGCUAUGUGUGGACGGGAUAAGUGCUGAAAGCAUCUAAGCAUGAAGCCCCCCUCAAGAUGAGAUUUCCCAACUUCGGUUAUAAGAUCCCUCAAAGAUGAUGAGGUUAAUAGGUUCGAGGUGGAAGCAUGGUGACAUGUGGAGCUGACGAAUACUAAUCGAUCGAAGACUUAAUCAA